AACUCAAACGUUGCUAUCUAUCAAUUAACACCCCUUACUUUAAAUCCAUUGAAGUGUAUUCAUCUUUCUUCCAUCUCAUUUUCUCUUUAUAUAUGCUUUCCUAUCACAACAUAUUAUUUAUUAGGGUUGCCCAACUGGCGGGUUCGGGCCCAAUCGCCGGUUUUGGUCGAACGAGUGACCAUCAAAACACCAGGCCGCCUUUGUCUGCAGCCAUGCGGCGGGUUGCUCGGGUACGGGUUACUUGGUUCAUGACUAUCUCGGGUGGAUUCGUUCGGUUUGUACAUCCAUUAAAAAAAUUCGAAAAUCAUGAUAAAGAUGAAGAGAGAUAAAAGGCAGAAGCUAACAAAAUUCUGAAAGUGCAAAGCUGAAAUUAGAUUAGAGGUUAUACAAUUAGAUCAGAUCUAUAAAAAUUCCAACGAAAAGUUACAAAAAACUUUAAUAGAAGGUAUGGAGCGCACAAACUUUCUUCGAUCUCGCACCACCGAAACUAAAUCGCAGUUAAGAAGGAAGGAGUGCCGGCGAUUGACGGUUCCAUGGAGGAAAGGGCCACCUUUAUGAGAGACCAGUAACUCCGUCGCAAGAAGAAGAUGAGAGGGUUGCCAUAUUUUAGAGUGAUGGCUCCAUUGCGACGUCAAGGGAGUAGAAGUGUUGGUCAUGGCGGCUCCGUUGCGAUGUGAGUAGAAGUGGUGGCUGCCGGCUGGUGCGUGCUACGAUUUGCCUUGUCGGAUUGGCUGCUAGGGAUGAAUAUCCAAAGAAAUAUGCAAGAUUUGGUGAGGUAAUGAGGGUUUUCAAGUUUUUUUGGUCCAAAGGUGCUAAGCAUCAGCCAAAGGGUGCUAAGCAUCAUCUGGCAAUGGAGACUCCUUCAGCAUGAAGUAACAGAGUGCUAAGCGUUUAAAAUGGAAUGCUAAGCAUCAUCUGGCGGUGGGGAAUCCUUCAGCAUGAAGAAACAGGGCGCUAAGCACCUAAAGUGGAGUGCUAAGCACCCUGUAACAGAUCUGCAAUGCUAUAAAACUAAAAGUUCAACACAAAACAGGGAGUUCACGAAAAUCAGAGAUAAAUACACAAACCCAUCACUUGGGGAAAGGGAGAACUAAAAGGAGAUCAUCAAGGGUGACCUAGGAGACUAGAGAGAAAGCUUUGGAGCUGAUUUCAUCGUCGGGGAACCGUCACGAGUCGGUUUUUCAUCGCUCUUCUUCUCUUUUAUCAUUGUAAAGCUAUCCAUGGAAGUGGAUAGCUAAUUUCUCAUUUGUUGGGAUUAGAACUAGUUGUUUUGAUGCUCAUGUAAUCUAUUUGAUUUCUUUUCAUGCAAA